AUUGAACGCUGGCGGCAGGCCUAACACAUGCAAGUCGAGCGAGCGGCGGACGGGUGAGUAAUGUAUGGGGACUGCCCGAUGGAGGGGGAUAACUACUGGAAACGGUGGCUAAUCCCGCAUACUAUCGGAUAACCCAUAUGGGAUUGGCUAGUAGGUGGGGGAAAGGCUCACCUAGGCGACGAUCUCUAGCUGGUCUGAGAGGAUGAUCAGCCACACUGGGACUGAGACACGUCCCAGACUCCUACGGAGGCAGAAGUGGGGAAUAUUGCACAAUGGGUGCAAGCCUGAUGCAGCCAUGCCGCGUGUAUGAAGAAGGCCUUAGGGUUGUAAAGCACUUUCAUAGGGGAGGCGUUACCUGCAGAAGAAGCACCGGCUAACUCCGUGCCAGCCGCCGCGGUAAUUC
rnacentral:rRNA from 1 species